GUCGAUUUUGUGUGUGUUAUGGUUGGUUCUGGAAUAUUACUUUUAUCAGUUUGUCUCUUUGUAACAAUAUUCAGAUGCAGAACUGUUGUUGAUGUUGAAAUUGAAGAUGCGACGACACGAUGUAACAAAACCGAGGGAAAAUCUACAGCUUUCUCAAACACUUGUUGAAAGUUGACAAGGCAGUAUACUACUUCAUCAAUAGGAGAAAUUCGUCUCAGUAAGAUAGAAGCCUAUCGAGUCUGACCAGCAAAGCAACUUUCCCCAACACUGAUUGAAAGUUAGCAAGACAGUACAUCAUUUCAUCAAAAGAAUUGCUUCGUCAUUUGCCUGGUAUUCAUAACUGAUUGAGAUAGACGCCUAUCGAGUCUGGUCAGAAAAGCAACCUACUAAGAGACUGCUUGAACGUUAGAAAGACAGUACAUCGAUUUCAUCAAACGAAACUCGUCGUGGUCAUAUGUCUGAUAUUCAUCACUGAUCAAGAUGAGAGCUUAUCGAGUCUGGCCAGCAGAGCAAUUUUCUAAGACACUGCUUGAAAGUUAGAAAGACAGUACAUCAAUUCAUCAAAAGAAAUGCCUCGUCAUUUGUCUGGUAUUCAUCACUGAGCAAAAUGAAAGCCUAUCGAAUCUGGCCAGUAUGCAAAGCAACCUACUAAGAGACUGCUUGAACUUUAGAAAGACAGUACAUCGAUUUCAUCAAACGAAACUCGUCGUGGUCAUUU